AAGCCCUUCAUCCGGUAAGCUCUAGCGAACCGCCGGAACCCCGAGUCAUGGGCGGUUGCCAGUAAUGGCAAUGAUUAAGCGUUGAUAGGGGAACGUACAGGCUCUGCUCUUUAUUAGAGAGUGAGCUCCGAAACCCUCAUCGAGAAGCCGACCCUGUUGGAUGAGAGGGAAGGCAACACGGCACAGAUGUGCUAUGCGAGCACCCUGUCGGUUUUCCGGAGUCAUAGACC
rnacentral:ncRNA from 1 species